GUGCCGCGUCGCUUUCUUUUCUUCCUCUGGAGCAGUUAUGGCGGCGGCGAAGACCCUGAACCCCAAGGCCAAGGUGGCCGGAGCGCAGGCGGCGCUGGCGUUCAACAUUAGCGGGGCGCGGGGUCUGCAGGACGUGCUGAGGACCAACCUGGGGCCCAAAGGGACCAUAAAGAUCAAAUUCAACACCCAACAGCUUCCUUAAUAGCAAAGGUAGCAACAGCCCAGGAUGAUAUAACUGGUGAUGGUACGACUUCCAAUGUCCUAAUCAUUGGAGAGCUGCUGAAACAGGCAGAUCUCUACAUUUCUGAAGGCCUUCAUCCCAGAAUAAUCACUGAAGGAUUUGAAGCUGUGAAGGAAAAGCCCUUCAUUUUUUGGAAGAAGUCAAAGUAAGCAGAGAGAUGGACAAGGAAACACUUAAAGAUGUGGCCAGGGCAUCUCUUUGUACUAAAGUUCAUGCUGAACUUGCAGAUGUCUUAACAGAGGCUGUAGUGGGCUCCAUUUUGGCCAUUAAAAGAAAAGAUGAACCUAUUGAUCUCUUCAUGAUUUUGUGAUCAUUGACAAGAAACAUAAAUCUGAAACUGAUACAAGAGAAGUGAAUUCUGGCGUUUUUUACAAGAGUGCAGAAAGAGAAAAACUCAUAAAAGCUGAAAGAAAAUUCAUUGAAGAUAGAGUUAAAACAAAUAAUAGAACUGAAAAGGAAAGUCUGUAGUAAUUCAGAUAAAGGAUUUGUUAUUAAUCAAAAGGGAAUUGACCCCUUUUCCUUAGAUGCUCUUUCAAAGAAGGCAUAGUCGCUCUUCACAGAGCUAAAAGGAGGAAUAUGGAGAGGCUGACUCUUGCUUGUGGUGGGGUGGCCCUGAAUUCUUUUGAGGACCUAAGUCCUGACUGCUUGAGACAUGCAGGACUUGUAUAUGAGUAUACAUUGGGAGAAGUUCACCUUUAUUGAGAAGUGUAACAACCCUCGUUCUGUCACAUUAUUGAUCAAAGGACCAAAUAAGCCCACACUUAGAUCAAAGAUGCAGUAAGGGAUGGCUUGAGGGCUGUCAAAAAUGCUAUUGAUGAUGGCUGUGUGGUUCCGGUGCUGGUGCCGUGGAAGUGGCAAUGGCAGAAGCCCUGAAUAAAUAUAAGCUCAGUGUAAAGGGCAAGGCACAGCUUGGAGUCCAAGCAUUUGCUGAUGUGUUGCUCGUUAUUCCCAAGGUUCUUGCGCAGAAUUCUGGUUUUGACCUUCAGGAAACAUUAGUUAAAAUUUAAGCAGAACAUUCAGAAUCAGGUCAGCUCGUGGGUGUGGACCUGAACACAGGUGAGCCCGUGGUAGCAGCAGAAGCAGGCAUUAUGGGAUAACGAUUGUGUAAAGAAACAGCUUCUUCAUUCCUGCACUGGUUGCCACCAACAUUCUCUUGGUUGAUGAGAUCAUGCGAGCUGGAAUCUUCUCUGAAAGGUUGAAUUGAAGCUUCCUCUGUAUCUGAGUCUUGAAGACUCUGCAAAGUGAUCCUGAAGAAUACAGCUGUGGAAUUUUUGUCCAAGCUUCAAAUGAGUUUCAAGGGAAUUUUCCCAUGUGAAAAAAGGAGAGAACACUGGCAUCUGUUGAAAUUCGGAAGUUCUGAAAUUAUAAUCACAGUAUUUUUUAAAAAUUGCACUGAAGUGUACACAGAUAAAGCAGGUCUUUCACCCAGUGAACAGGAUGUUUUGCUUUAGCAGCAGUGACAUAAAAUUCCAUGUUAAAUAAGCAUAUAUUACCUACCUUAUUAAAUAUUCCUUGAAAAAGCAGA